rnacentral:rRNA from 1 species
AUUGAACGCUGGCGGCAGGCCUAACACAUGCAAGUCGAGCGGAUGAAGGGAGCUUGCUCCUGGAUUCAGCGGCGGACGGGUGAGUAAUGCCUAGGAAUCUGCCUGGUAGUGGGGGAUAACGUCCGGAAACGGGCGCUAAUACCGCAUACGUCCUGAGGGAGAAAGUGGGGGAUCUUCGGACCUCACGCUAUCAGAUGAGCCUAGGUCGGAUUAGCUAGUUGGUGGGGUAAAGGCCUACCAAGGCGACGAUCCGUAACUGGUCUGAGAGGAUGAUCAGUCACACUGGAACUGAGACACGGUCCAGACUCCUACGGGAGGCAGCAGUGGGGAAUAUUGGACAAUGGGCGAAAGCCUGAUCCAGCCAUGCCGCGUGUGUGAAGAAGGUCUUCGGAUUGUAAAGCACUUUAAGUUGGGAGGAAGGGCAGUAAGUUAAUACCUUGCUGUUUUGACGUUACCAACAGAGUAAGCACCGGCUAACUUCG